AGCGAACGUUUGCGGCGGGCCUAACACAUGCAAGUCGAACGGGCAGGGGCAACCCUGUCAGUGGCGCACGGGUGCGUAACACGUGGGUAAUCAACCCUUUGGACUGGGACAACCCGGGGAAACUCGGGCUAAUACCGGAUGUGGCAUCGUGGUCCUCGGACUGUGAUGCGAAAGCCUCGCAAGGGGCACCAGAGGACGAGCCCGCGGCCCAUCAGCUAGUUGGUGAGGUAAUGGCUCACCAAGGCUAAGACGGGUAGCUGGUCUGAGAGGAUGAUCAGCCUCACUGGAACUGAGACACGGUCCAGACUCCUACGGGAGGCAGCAGUGGGGAAUAUUGCGCAAUGGGCGAAAGCCUGACGCAGCCACGCCGCGUGAGCGAUGAAGGUCUUCGGAUCGUAAAGCUCUGUGGGAGAGAAGAAUCAAGCCGGUGAAGAGCCGGCCCGACGGUAUCUCCUUAGCAAGCACCGGCUAACUCCGUGCCAGCCGCCGCCGUAA
rnacentral:rRNA from 1 species